rnacentral:misc_RNA from 1 species
UACAGAGGGUGCGAGCGUUGUUCAGAAUUACUGGGCGUAAAGCGCGUGUAGGCGGCACCGUCAGUCGGAUGUGAAAGCCCUCGGCUCAACCGAGGAUGUGCAUUCGAUACUGCGGAGCUUGAGUGUCGGAGGGGGUGGCGGAAUUCCCGGUGUAGAGGUGAAAUUCGUAGAUAUCGGGAGGAACACCUGUGGCGAAGGCGGCCACCUGGACGAUUACUGACGCUGAGACGCGAAAGCGUGGGGAGCAAACAGG